CUGGGGAUAUAGCUUAGUGGUGGAGCACUUGCCUAGCAUGCAGGAGGCCCUAGGUUUGAUACCCAGUACUAGG
rnacentral:tRNA from 1 species